rnacentral:rRNA from 1 species
UUAAGGGUCCGUAGGCGGGCCAAUAAGUCAGUGGUGAAAUCCUAUCGCUUAACGAUAGAACUGCCAUUGAAACUGUUGGUCUUGAAUUAUUUUGAAGUUGGCGGAAUGAGUAGUGUAGCGGUGAAAUGCAUAGAUAUUACUCAGAACACCGAUUGCGAAGGCAGCUGACUAAGAAUAUAUUGACGCUGAUGGACGAAAGCGUAGGUAGCGAACAGGAUUAGAUACCCUGGUAGUCUACGCAGUAAACGAUGGAUACUCGUUGUCGGGAAAAUUGAGACUCGGUGGCUAAGCGAAAGUGAUAAGUAUCCCACCUGGGGAGUACGAUCGCAAGAUUGAAACUCAAAGGAAUUGACGGGGGCCCGCACAAGCGGUGGAGCAUGUGGUUUAAUUCGAUGAUACGCGAGGAACCUUACCUGGGCUUAAAUGUAGAUUGACAGGACUGGAAACAGUUUUUCCUUCGGGCAAUUUACAAGGUGCUGCAUGGUUGUCGUCAGCUCGUGCCGUGAGGUGUCAGGUUAAGUCCUAUAACGAGCGCAACCCCUAUCGAUAGUUGCUAGCAGGUAAUGCUGAGGACUCUAUUGAGACUGCCGGUGCAAACCGUGAGGAAGGUGGGGAUGACGUCAAAUCAUCACGGCCCUUACGUCCAGGGCCACACACGUGCUACAAUGGUGCAUACAGAGAGCAGCCAUCCUGCGAAGGAGAGCGAAUCUACAAAGUGCAUCACAGUUCGGAUCGUAGUCUGCAACUCGACUACGUGAAGCUGGAAUCGCUAGUAAUCGCAGAUCAGCCAUGCUGCGGUGAAUACGU